UAGUCGGAGGUGUGUCUCGGACGGUCGGUUCGCCGCUUGUCGGUGCUCAACUGGCCGGUCCGGACGUCCUGCCGGUGGGGCCGCGAGGCUCCGUUAUCCUUCUUUGGUCCUCUUCACCGAGUGCCUUGGUGGGCCGGCACGUUUACUUUGAACAAAUUAGAGUGCUCAAAGCAGGCCGUUGGUCGCCUGAAUACUGUGUGCAUGGAAUAAUGGAAUAGGACCUCGGUUCCAUUUUGUUGGUUUUCAGAACUCGAGGUAAUGAUUAAUAGGGACGGACGGGGGCAUUCGUAUUGCGACGUUAGAGGUGAAAUUCUUGGAUCGUCGCAAGACGAACCGAUGCGAAAGCAUUUGCCAAGAACGUUUUCGUUGAUCAAGAACGAAAGUUAGAGGUUCGAAGGCGAUCAGAUACCGCCCUAGUUCUAACCAUAAACGAUGCCAGCUAGCCAUCCGCCGAAGUUCCUUCUAUGACUCGGCGGGCAGCUUCCGGGAAACCAAAGCUCUUGGGUUCCGGGGGAAGUAU
rnacentral:rRNA from 16 species